AUGCUGUCUGACCAUUUCCAUUUUCUGGUCAAACUGUAUGUAUGGAACAUUGUACUCAUGGAGUACUUUUUGCACAGCGCCUCAAUAAAUGAUCUGAACAUAAUUUUUGAAGUUUCUUGGCCUGUUUCACUACGGCUGGAGGGCUGCAGAGCUCUUGACGUGUCAAUGUUCUCACUGCAGUGGCAUCCUAGCGUGGAGGAAUACCCACCUCUGGGAACACGUGGAGCCACGGUCUCCACACCAAGAAAAUGGCCGGGUGGGGAGCAGAGCCUGGAGGAAUUUCCUGCACGAAGCGUGUCGGACCCCUCAGACUGCCUCCUCCAGGGUCCUGCCUGAUGGCACACCGAAGAAAGAGCAAAACCAGAAACUGAAGACAGGCAACCCAGGUUUGGAAUUUCCCACGAAACAAUACAGAAGUCAAGAUGCAGAUGCAAACAAUACUGCUG
rnacentral:lncRNA from 1 species